rnacentral:rRNA from 1 species
UAUUUCCCGAAACCAUAGGAGCUGUAAUUUAUUUGUUAAGAACCCCUUGUCUAAUGUAGCAAUAUUACCAAAAAAAUAAAUCACAGAGGCUACAUACCUACCGCAUAUGGUGAUAGCUGGUUCUCCGCUAGCCCAGUAUAAGCUGACCAAACUGAAAGUCCCCAAAUAUACACACUCAGUUAUGCAAUUAAAUUGAGGACAAGCCCAAUUUACUACCCUUAUUUGUCUUAAAACAUAAAACAAAGUAGGCCCAAAACCAGCCACCUCACAUCUCGUUACAGUAAACAAAAAAUAAAAAUUUUUUUAAAAAUAUAUAUAAGCGAAGUAUAAGCUAAAACCAAAAGCUUAAAAACUAUGCAAAGAUUAGUAUUCAACAUUAUCUCUUACAACAUAUAUAGAGAAGGAACUCGGCAAACAAAAGCCCCGACUGUUUAACAAAAACAUAGCCUGUUGCCCCACCAAUAACAGGUGAACCCUGCCCAGUGAUAAAAUUCAACGGCCGCAGUACCCUGACUGUGCAAAGGUAGCAUAAUCAUUUGCCUCCUAAUUAGAGGCUAGUAUGAACGGACAAACGAGAGCAAAGCUGUCUCCUCUAUAAUAAUAAAAAUUUACCCUUAGGUGAAGAGGCCUAAAUAAAUAUAAAAGACAAGAAGACCCUGUCGAGCUUCAAUCAAAGCAAAUCUAUAGUUUAUAAAAUACUGAAACUUGUUUACGAUUUUUGUUGGGGCGACAAAGGAAUAAAUAAAUCUUCCCACAUAAAAAAGAAAAUUAUUCAUUCAAAUGAUCCAUUAUAUGAUCAAUAAAAAGAGCUACCGCAGGGAUAACAGACUAAUCUUCCUUAAGAGCCCAAAUCUACAGGAAGGCUUGGCACCUCGAUGUUGGCUUAAGAGUUCUUUUAGAUGCAGCAGUCUAAAAAAGAAGGUUUGUU